rnacentral:rRNA from 1 species
GAAGCUUGCUUCUCUGAUGUUAGCGGCGGACGGGUGAGUAACACGUGGAUAACCUACCUAUAAGACUGGGAUAACUUCGGGAAACCGGAGCUAAUACCGGAUAAUAUUUUGAACCGCAUGGUUCAAAAGUGAAAGACGGUCUUGCUGUCACUUAUAGAUGGAUCCGCGCUGCAUUAGCUAGUUGGUAAGGUAACGGCUUACCAAGGCAACGAUGCAUAGCCGACCUGAGAGGGUGAUCGGCCACACUGGAACUGAGACACGGUCCAGACUCCUACGGGAGGCAGCAGUAGGGAAUCUUCCGCAAUGGGCGAAAGCCUGACGGAGCAACGCCGCGUGAGUGAUGAAGGUCUUCGGAUCGUAAAACUCUGUUAUUAGGGAAGAACAUAUGUGUAAGUAACUGUGCACAUCUUGACGGUACCUAAUCAGAAAGCCACGGCUAACUACGUGCCAGCAGCCGCGGUAAUACGUAGGUGGCAAGCGUUAUCCGGAAUUAUUGGGCGUAAAGCGCGCGUAGGCGGUUUUUUAAGUCUGAUGUGAAAGCCCACGGCUCAACCGUGGAGGGUCAUUGGAAACUGGAAAACUUGAGUGCAGAAGAGGAAAGUGGAAUUCCAUGUGUAGCGGUGAAAUGCGCAGAGAUAUGGAGGAACACCAGUGGCGAAGGCGACUUUCUGGUCUGUAACUGACGCUGAUGUGCGAAAGCGUGGGGAUCAAACAGGAUUAGAUACCCUGGUAGUCCACGCCGUAAACGAUGAGUGCUAAGUGUUAGGGGGUUUCCGCCCCUUAGUGCUGCAGCUAACGCAUUAAGCACUCCGCCUGGGGAGUACGACCGCAAGGUUGAAACUCAAAGGAAUUGACGGGGACCCGCACAAGCGGUGGAGCAUGUGGUUUAAUUCGAAGCAACGCGAAGAACCUUACCAAAUCUUGACAU